UACGGAGGGUGCGAGCGUUGUCCGGAAUCACUGGGCGUAAAGGGCGCGUAGGUGGCGCGGUCAGUCAACGGUGAAAGUUCGGGGCUCAACCCUGAAUCGGCCGUCGAUACUCCCGGGCUUGAGCACUGUAGAGGCAGAUGGAAUUCCGGGUGUAGCGGUGGAAUGCGUAGAGAUCCGGAAGAACACCGGUGGCGAAGGCGGUCUGCUGGGCAGUAGCUGGCACUGAGGCGCGACAGCGUGGGGAGCAAACAGG
rnacentral:rRNA from 1 species